rnacentral:rRNA from 1 species
AACGACUCUCGACAACGGAUAUCUCGGCUCUCGCAUCGAUGAAGAACGUAGCGAAAUGCGAUACUUGGUGUGAAUUGCAGAAUCCCGUGAACCAUCGAGUCUUUGAACGCAAGUUGCGCCCGAUGCCACUAGGUUGAGGGCACGUCUGCCUGGGUGUCACGC